AGGCCUAACACAUGCAAGUCGAGCGGAAACGAGUUAUCUGAACCUUCGGGGAACGAGUAACGGCGUCGAGCGGCGGACGGGUGAGUAAUGCCUAGGAAAUUGCCUUGAUGUGGGGGAUAACCAUUGGAAACGAUGGCUAAUACCGCAUAAUGCCUACGGGCCAAAGACGGGGGACCUUCGGGCCUCUCGCGUCAAGAUAUGCCUAGGUGGGAUUAGCUAGUUGGUGAGGUAAUGGCUCACCAAGGCGACGAUCCCUAGCUGGUCUGAGAGGAUGAUCAGCCACACUGGAACUGAGACACGGUCCAGACUCCUACGGGAGGCAGCAGUGGGGAAUAUUGCACAAUGGGCGCAAGCCUGAUGCAGCCAUGCCGCGUGUAUGAAGAAGGCCUUCGGGUUGUAAAGUACUUUCAGCAGUGAGGAAGGGGGUGUCGUUAAUAGCGGCAUCUCUUGACGUUAGCUGCAGAAGAAGCACCGGCUAACUCCGUG
rnacentral:rRNA from 1 species